rnacentral:rRNA from 1 species
CCUACUGGAGGCAGCAGUGGGGAAUAUUGCGCAAUGGGCGAAAGCCUGACGCAGCGACGCCGCGUGAGGGAUGAAGGUCUUCGGAUCGUAAAACUCUGUCAGCAGGGAAGAACGGUCACUGUGCUAAUCAGCAGUGAAUUGACGGUACCUGCAAAGGAAGCACCGGCUAACUCCGUGCCAGCAGCCGCGGUAAUACGGAGGGUGCGAGCGUUAAGCGGAAUUACUGGGCGUAAAGCGCUCGUAGGCGGUAUGUCAAGUCAAGGGUGAAAUCCCCGGGCUCAACGUGGGAAGUGCCUUUGAAACUGGCAAACUGGAGUGUGUGAGAGGAGAGUGGAAUUCCAGGUGUAGGAGUGAAAUGCGUAGAUAUCUGGAGGAACAUCAGUGGCGAAGGCGACUAUCUGGCACAUAACUGACGCUGAGGUGCGAAAGCGUGGGUAGCAAACAGGAUUAGAUACCCCAGUAGUC